UGUAGGGUAGAAAACCAGCACGGGCGUAGAGGUUUCCUCUCCGCCCGUGCUCGCAUGUUAGGGGCAGAUAAACAAAU
rfam:Escherichia vulneris NBRC 102420 DNA, contig: EV10242002.